rnacentral:tRNA from 1 species
UCCCGGUUCGUCCAACGGCAGGACACUGCACUCUGGAUGCAGGAAUCGUGGUUCGAAUCCACGGCCGGGAG